rnacentral:rRNA from 1 species
UACGAAGGGGGCUAGCGUUGCUCGGAAUUACUGGGCGUAAAGGGCGCGUAGGCGGCGUGUUAAGUCACUUGUGAAAUCUCUAAGCUUAACUUAGAACGGUCAAGUGAUACUGACGUGCUAGAGUGCAGAAGGGGCAACCGGAAUUCUUGGUGUAGCGGUGAAAUGCGUAGAUAUCAAGAGGAACACCUGAGGUGAAGACGGGUUGCUGGGCUGACACUGACGCUGAGGCGCGAAAGCUAGGGUAGCAAACGGG